rnacentral:rRNA from 1 species
CGGCGCCACGAGUGGGGACCAUAUUUAUUGGGCCUAAAGCGUUCGUAGCCGGUUUAGUAAAUCUUCUGUGAAAUCAUUGGGCUCAACUCAAUGUCGUGCAGAAGACACUGCUAGACUAGGAACCGGGAGGAGUCAGAGGUAUUUUGGGGGGCGCGGUAAAAUGCGAUAAUCCCUAGAGGACCACCUGUGGCGAAGGCGUCUGACUAGAACGGGUUCGACGGUGAGGAACGAAAGCUAGGGGAGCAAACCGGAUUAGAUACCCGAGUAGUCC